CGGGCCGGAGCCGGUGGGCUACGACCCGGCGAUCAUCCCGUCGUGGCGCGACGGUCCCGCGUCACCGACGUUCGGCGCGCUGCGGCUCGA
rnacentral:tRNA from 1 species